GCUUGCUUCUUGGGGUUGUAGGACACUCUAUACGGAGUUACAAAAGAAAGUUAUAAAUGAAGCGGUCUGGAAAGGCCCGCCAAAGACGGUAACAGCCCGGUAGUUGAAAUGGCUUUCCCUCCAGAGUGGAUCCUGAGUACGGCGGAACACGUGAAAUUCCGUCGGAAUCCGGGAGGACCAUCUCCCAAGGCUAAAUACUCCCUAGUGACCGAUAGUGAACCAGUACCGUGAGGGAAAGGUGAAAAGCACCCCGGAAGGGGAGUGAAACAGUUCCUGAAACCGUGUGCCUACAAGUAGUUAGAGCCCGUUAAUGGGUGAUAGCGUGCCUUUUGUAGAAUGAACCGGCGAGUUACGAUUUGUUGCAAGGUUAAGCGGAAAAAGCGGAGCCGUAGCGAAAGCGAGUCUGAAUAGGGCGCAUAAGUAACAGGUCGUAGACCCGAAACCAGGUGAUCUACCCAUGUCCAGGAUGAAGGUAAGGUAAUACUUACUGGAGGUCCGAACCCACGCACGUUGAAAAGUGCGGGGAUGAGGUGUGGGUAGCGGAGAAAUUCCAAUCGAACUUGGAGAUAGCUGGUUCUCUCCGAAAUAGCUUUAGGGCUAGCCUCGAGGUAAAGAGUCAUGGAGGUAGAGCACUGUUUGGACUAGGGGCCCUUCUCGGGUUACCGAAUUCAGAUAAACUCCGAAUGCCAUGUACUUAUACUCGGGAGUCAGACUGCGAGUGAUAAGAUCCGUAGUCGAAAGGGAAACAGCCCAGACCACCAGUUAAGGUCCCCAAAUAUAUGUUAAGUGGAAAAGGAUGUGGGGUUGCUUAGACAACCAGGAUGUUGGCUUAGAAGCAGCCACCAUUGAAAGA
rnacentral:rRNA from 1 species